CUUCCCCUAUAGUUUCUCUGCAAAAAUCAAUACGAACAAAUUAAUCAAGAACCACCAAACAUGGCCUUAACAUCACCAGAGCACACCUCCGGCUCCGGUUCCGGCUCACCGAAGCGGCUAACUCUGGGCUUGCUCAUGUCCAUAUCAUCCCUCAUGGCUCUCUGCGCCAAGCAUGCAACCAGAGUCUCCACCAAGCUCAAGCCCACGGCCACCAAGUCC
rnacentral:misc_RNA from 1 species